rnacentral:rRNA from 1 species
AUUGAACGCUGGCGGCAGGCUUAACACAUGCAAGUCGAGCGGAGAGAGGUAGCUUGCUACUGAUCUUAGCGGCGGACGGGUGAGUAAUGCUUAGGAAUCUGCCUAUUAGUGGGGGACAACAUUCCGAAAGGAAUGCUAAUACCGCAUACGUCCUACGGGCGAAAGCAGGGGAUCUUCGGACCUUGCGCUAUUAGUUGAGUCUAAGACGGAUGAGCUAGUUGGUGGGGUAAAGGCCUACCAAGGCGACGAUCCGUAGCGGGUCUGAGAGGAUGAUCCGCCACACUGGGACUGAGACACGGCCCAGACUCCUACGGGAGGCAGCAGUGGGGAAUAUUGGACAAUGGGCGCAAGCCUGAUCCAGCCAUGCCGCGUGUGUGAAGAAGGCCUUAUGGUUGUAAAGCACUUUAAGCGAGGAGGAGGCUACUUUAGUUAAUACCUAGAGAUAGUGGACGUUACUCGCAGAAUAAGCACCGGCUAACUCUGUGCCAGCCGCCGCGGUAACAC